GACGAACGCUGGCGGCGUGCUUAACACAUGCAAGUCGAACGAUGAAGCCGGAGCUUGCUCUGGUGAAUUAGUGGCGAACGGGUGAGUAACACGUGAGUAACCUGCCCUUGACUCUGGGAUAACUGCGGGAAACUGUAGCUAAUACCGGAUACGACCCUCGGAGGCAUCUCCUGGGGGUGGAAGGAAUUUCGGUCAAGGAUGGACUCGCGGCCUAUCAGCUAGUUGGUGAGGUAAAGGCUCACCAAGGCGACGACGGGUAGCCGGCCUGAGAGGGUGACCGGCCACACUGGGACUGAGACACGGCCCAGACUCCUACGGGAGGCAGCAGUGGGGAAUAUUGCACAAUGGGCGCAAGCCUGAUGCAGCAACGCCGCGUGAGGGAUGACGGCCUUCGGGUUGUAAACCUCUUUUAGCAGGGAAGAAGCGAAAGUGACGGUACCUGCAGAAAAAGCACCGGCUAACUACGUACCAGCAGCCGCGGUAA
rnacentral:rRNA from 1 species